AUGAGACUGCCAGACAGGACGGGCAGAGUCGGAAGUCCAGUUGUCUUGCUAUCACAAUCUAGGGUAGGCUCGGGUCUUUCCUCAGUGCGGGGAGGACCUUUGCUUUCAGAAAUGAACGUGGCGCGACAUAUCUCCACUCAGGCACCGGUGCGAUGCUGGUGGAGAAGUUUCUUUGGGACUGGUUGGGUUGCCUUUCUCCCCUUGGCCUUCGUGUUGGUGCUGGUGGCACCGGUGCGAUGCUGGUGGAGAAGUUUCUUUGGGACUGGUUGGGUUGCCUUUCUCCCCUUGGCCUUCGUGUUGGUGCUGGUGGUGCUGGUGGUGCUGGUGGUGCUGGUGGCGGUGCUCAUGGCCUUGUGGAUCGCUUCUCCUGUUUGGCACUUGGAGCUUCUCCAGCGUACUCCUUGCACCGGACAUGGAGCCCCAGGGAUCUUUGCGGACGAGCGUCGUGCCGGGGACGCGCGCAUCCCCGCCUCAUUCCUGCCGGACCCUCCGCCAAGUAGCACGAGGCCUCCCAAGGACAGACACCCAUAAAGGCUGCUUGCCCGUCUUCUCCCCGGACGCCUCUCGACGUCUGGGGCAUUUUCGAGAGCCUGACCGGCGGAAGGAGGCGGUUCAUGGACCUGCACCGCUCUUCCCUGCCCCGAAGGGCUCCGAGAUCUUCUCCUU
rnacentral:lncRNA from 1 species